rnacentral:lncRNA from 1 species
UUCGAAUAAAUUAAAUAUCAAACUCUUUCCUUCCCUUCCCUCCAAUCCCCUCAAAUCCUUUUGCUUUUCCUCCAAAAUUUUAAUUUCCUCAAACCCCAAAACUUUUUUUCUUUUAACUUUCUCCUCAAAUAGAAGAGAAAGAUGGGAGAGAAGGAGAGAAGAGAAAGAAAGGAGGAAAGGGAAAAAGGGGGGUCGCUGGUGACCGUCGCACCACCGGGGGGAGACGGCUGCGUGAGUUUAGAGCUAGACUUCUAAGAAAAAUUAAGGAAAAAAAAAGAAAGUACAAGGAAGGAAAAAGAAGAAAAAAAGAAAAAUAAAAGAAAAAAAUAUAAAUAUAAAUAUAACAGUCGAGUCGACCCGACCCGCGCAGCCCGACCCGGGCCAACCCAGCAGGCCACCAAUAACAGGCCUGCAACAGGCCCAGCAGGCCCAAAACAGUAGCCCAGCAGAAAAAAAUAAAAGCAGGCCGACCCAACAACCCAGCAAACCGACCCGCAACCCGACCUGACCACCCAGCAGCACCCAACAGCAGCUAGGCAGCACAGCAGGCCCACACCGCGCAGCCCAACAGCAGGCGGCCCAACAAAAAGAAGAGAAGAAAAAAAUAAUAGCAGGCCCAGAAGCACAAGCCUGACCCAGCCC